rnacentral:pre_miRNA from 1 species
AGUGGAAUUGCUGGAUCAUAUGGCAACUCUGUUUAACUUUUAAAGGAAUGCCCAUACUGUCAUCCAAAGUGAUCUUGCCAUUUUACAUUCCUACUAGCAAG